rnacentral:tRNA from 1 species
UUAAGGGUAGGCUAACAAAGCUUUAGAACUCAUAUUUCUAAGAUGUUUAUCCUCUUAAA